rnacentral:ncRNA from 1 species
UAGAUAGGCCACGGUGACGCAUUUGGCAUGGCUGCAGCUUACGAACUGUCCAUGGGUCUUGGUGGAACACGUGCUGCCGGAGAUCUGGUAGCACGUAUG